rnacentral:rRNA from 1 species
AUUGAACGCUGGCGGCAGGCCUAACACAUGCAAGUCGAACGAGUGGCGGACGGGUGAGUAAUGUCUGGGAAACUGCCCGAUGGAGGGGGAUAAGUACUGGAAACGGUAGCUAAUACCGCAUACCAUCGUAUGUGCCCAGAUGGGAUUAGCUAGUAGGUGGGGUAACGGCUCACCUAGGCGACGAUCCCUAGCUGGUCUGAGAGGCUGACCGGCCACACUGGAACUGAGACACGGCCCAGACUCCUACGGGAGGCAGCAGUGGGGAAUAUUCGACAAUGGGCGAAAGUCUGAUCGAGCAAUGCCGCGUGUGUGAAGAAGGUCUUCGGAUUGUAAAACACUUUCAUCGGGGAGGCGUUAUUUAACGAGAAAGCAACGGCUAACUCCGUGCCAGCAGCCGCGGUAAUUC